GUCUCGGAAGCUUAGUUGGUAGAGCAAUGGGCUGGUAUCUCAGAGUCGCGAGUUCGAGACUCGCCUGAGACG